ensembl:lncRNA
GUUGUUCUGCAGACCAACAUGGCUUGGUUGCUCUGCAGAUCAGCACGGCUUUAUGACGUCAAUAAAGUCUACUUUUGGAUUCAAAGGCUCCUGAGUCUUUGCAUCUUUUUUGUCUGGAAAUCUGAAGUGUUUUCCACAUCAUAAUCUUGGCGCUGCGAUCAGGGUUGGCAUCGGGCUGGCUGGCGCCGUGGGUCAGGUCACACAAACACGUGGCCACAUCGAGAGGAAAGCAUGUUCUUACUUUAAUUUUGUGGUUUGUGUGACUUGAAACAAUAGCCUGGCAGUUUGGCACCACGUAAGGCCUACUUGCCAACACUCCCAUUUUUCCCGGGUUCUUCCCGUUUUUUAGCCCUAUCUCCUAGACCCCUCCCGUUUUGUUAUUUCUCCUGGGAAACUCCCAUAAUUUGCAUGGCCCAAACUCCUUUAUAAAUAAUCAGACCAAUAUGUCUGUCUAAUGUUGACUAGUUGCCAGAUCUUGUAUGAAAAGCAUCCUAUUCACACAAUCCACACACCAUACAAUUUUCAACACGUUUGUCACCUCAACCUAUAACCCAGUUGCGCAGUUGAUCUCUGCGCAAGCUUCGCGGAAAGUUCAGACCCAAAAGCGAGCGAUAAUAAUGGCAGGUGAAGGCUGUGUUCCCGGAAAGAAAUCUAAAUAUAGCUGUAAAUUACAACAGUGUUGGACACAACAAUUUACAUGCAUCUUACCGAGUCAUAUCGACAACCUCAACGCUUUUUGUAAGGUUUGUCGCAUUGAUUUUAAUGUAGUGCACAGCGGUAAAAAUGACAUUACCCAUCAGAUUAAAACACAGCGGCACCAUCGCACAGAAAAGGCACACACAAAUAAAAAAUAUAAUAAAUAUUAAUAAAUUAAGUUGUGUUAUCAUUGAUAUUGCAAUGUAAAUAAUACUUAGAAGACUGCUGUGGGACAGGACCGCCGGCUUUGAAUUUAGCUGAAUGAGUGUGCCCCACGAUUACCGCCUCAGACAUAAACUUUGGGGAACAGCACAGGUGGGGGCUGAAUGAGUGGCCGCCUCUCACAGGUGUGUGGGAGUUCUCUGCAGUGUGAUAGUAGAGCGUGAAUGGUUAGGGCCAACUGCUAGGAGGAGUAUAGAGGAGUAAGUUAAGGGGUGUGUAGGCGCAGAGAGAAUUGUUGAGAGAAGUGAUGAAUGGUUUGUUGUCAAGGAGAAGUGGGUUAAGAGGUGUAGGAGUAGAGACAAUUGGGUUUUAAGAGAAUUGUUGAGUUGUUUGUGAAUGGGAUGAAGGUCAGUAUUCGAGAAGACAGGCUGAGGUCCAACAGGAACUUAGUUCCAAGGAGGUAUACGAUACGUUGUGUGCACACCCCAUGGAUACCACUCCCAUGAGGGUGGAGGUCUGAACGGGUGCGGUUGUAAGAAGACCUGUAUGGUAACGUCCUGUGGACCUGGAAGCAGGCGGGGACCAGGAGACUGUGUGUGUGAAUGUAUGUGCAAAAGAGAAAGUGUGUGAGGGAAGAGAAUUCCUGUCUGUAAUGAAGUGUGUGAAAGGAGACCCAUUGGGAGUGAUGCGCAUAGCGGGUACAUUGAUAGUAGAUGAUAAUGGUAUUUGCCCGAGUGCUAGAAAAGGGACGUCUGGAUAGAUGGGAAGAAGGUAAAUGAAGAAAAUAGCCAGAUGGACAAAGAUUUUGUGGGAGAUGUGCCACUAGAAAGUACUCAACAGUGGACAAAGGAUCUGGUCUAGUUUUGGGAGUCCUGGAUCCUGCAACCCUGAUAAACCUUGUACAAUAAAGGGGUACCUCACACAGAUGGCCCAGAUCAUUCUAAGGCCAAACCAAGCCCAGACCUGAGAGACUGCCUUGGGUUCAGAAUAAGAAUAUUGGACACUGAUGGUUCCAGCUACACCACAGUCAAGGAGAGGGUGGAGGAAUGGAGAGACUGGUGGUUCCAGCUACACCACAGUCAAGGAGAGGGUGGAGGAAUGGAGAGACUGAUGGUUCCAGCUACACCACAGUCAAGGAGAGGGUGGAGGAUUGGAGAGACUGAUGGUUCCAGCUACACCACAGUCAAGGAGAGGGUGGAGGAAUGGAGAGACUGAUGGUUC